UUAUGGAUUGAAAUUGUGAUAGGCCUUGCUUAAUGUUUGGCGGAAACUUUAGGACUAUUUUUAAUCGGCAUGAGUUCACGCGGCCGCCUGGUGCCUCCUACGGCAAUCGUUGAAUAAUGUGGUGGUUGCUACCAAACAUACAUUUUCUGCCCAUAAUGUGAGAUAAAAUUGGAGGAACGCUUAGUUCUUGCUCGCGUGCUGGAAGCCACUUUUGGCUGAAAAGUGGUUAUACGUAUAAGACUUUAAAUAAAAUUAAGCUUAGUCUGUGCAGAAGACAUCUUCAUGCCCUGUGUAAUUGGGUGAGUCUGAUGGAUAGGUUUUUAAGAGCAGUGCCCACUGAACUCCAGAACAAUUGCCCAAGUAAACACACAGCAGUGAGCUCUGUCGAAGGAGGCAAAUUUGGAGCAGUGCCUAAUUCAAGUGAUGCUGCCACAUAAGCUUCUCUAAGGAUAAGCAAUCCAUGUAUGCCAAUUAUCUUAGUUCUCACCCUGAACAUAAAACUGAAAGGAGAUGACUACAACACAGUGACUUAUUUGGAGAUGCACCAGACAGCUUUCUCUGAAGAAAUGUUAGGAAGUGAACAGGCACAAUCCCUCAACACUGACUGGACAGCGCCAUCUUUAUGAAGCAGUAGAAUGCCCUGGUUAAGGCCCUGAAACUAGAAGAGACGUCUAUUUUUUUCAACAUAACUUCAGUGCCCAUGGGAAUGUAAGAGAUUGAAUCUAUACCCGCACAGUUGUUGCCACAAGCAGAACCUGUACAUCUUUCAGUCUCAGCACCUGCUGAAAGAAAAUAGAAAUUAAGUCUGCAGAGGAGGAUGCAAAAAGCGCACCUCUGCCCAAGCUGCGUCUGGCAGUCCCCAACAUUAUGUGCUGAUCCGGGAAAAGGUGGAGGGAGAGAAAAUUGCUCAAGAAUCAGGCUGGUUCCUUCCAUAGCAUGUCUCUGGAACAAAAGCAGCAAUGCUUGAAAUUUCCUGCCAGCUUCUGGGAAUGCCCUGGGAUACCCUAGGAAUGAAACUUCUCUGGCAAGAAGAAAGCCCGUUUCUAGAGUGUAUUUUCCUCUGUUGCCAGCUGGUGAGAGGACUUUACCUUCCUGAUGCUAUGAAAUAUGGAAUAUGCUGUGGCUACAAAGCCAAGAUUUGUUGUUGCUGUGGUGAAUAUGAACGGUGUCUCUGUGUGAGUGAUGUGCAGCUGAAUCCUGCAUUUUUGUGAACAGUUUGCAAAUGUGUGUGUGAGCACCAUGUGCAGUUCCCCACUCUAGCAGAUGUUGUGAUUUAGGUUUCCUCCCUUUGUACAUUCGGUGGCACAGACCUUUCUUGCAAAAUGUUCUUUAUUGAUGAACGAGUUUUCCAGAAGCACAAACACCCAGACAGAAAGAAUCUCUGAGCAUGCAUAGAGCAAUUCAUUGGAUCCAAUCUAGUAUUUACUUUUAAAAAAGUAAACUCCUUAUGAGUAUGAGCUGAUAUCACAUUAUGGGGCUGAGUGCUAUACCCACCUCAUCUAUCUCUGAGAAACUCCCUUGUUCCAAGGCACCUUCUGCUAACUGUAUAUCUUGGUCAUUCUCAGGGGCCGCCUGCACACCUGGGGAGUCUGGCCUUGAGAUGAGCAUCUGCAUGUCUCUCAGUGUCUGGAAUUGGCCCACAUUCCAAGGCCCCCUCUAGGUCUUCCUCCACCAAAUCCCAAUCAGCAGGCCUUGGGAAUGUGCACCAAGAGCAACUGCCUUUCUCACUCCCAAAAGCAGACACGCUGGGGCUGAAAGAGUUGUGUGCCCCUGUUAUAAAGGGAACUGGCCAGCUUGGCAGUUGAAUUACGAUAUCCCUUUCGAUUACAGUGCAGCAAUGUUGAUUGUUUUCAAGAAUUAUUAUCAGCCAGGAAAGGAGCAUCAGAUGAGCAAGCUGAGAGUUGCAUCUGGUGCUGGUUGAGGAGGCCAUAGGCCAUGCAUGCACAUAUGUUUGCACACAUGGGAAGGGCUGCUUAGGGGUUGCUGCUCAGAAUAGCUUUCCGGCUGCCAUUAGCAGAAAGAAAGCAGCAAUCCUAGCAGUUUUGGAGUCACCGAGAAAGGCCAAAGCCCUCCUCCCUUCAAUGCGUUCACUGGGAUUGCUGUUCUGGAACUGCUGAUAGGGGCCUCUCCCCAAAACUCCGAUCAGCUGAGCUCUGGGGAAGAGUGCAGGAGGCAGCUAUAGGCUGCUGGACCAUACAAAAAGUGGAGAAGAGCCACAUGCAGGCUGUGCAGCCCUGCACUAGCUGGCGGGAGGUUUUCUGGACUAGGUUUAAGCUAUUUGGCUGGAUGGCACUUUGGAUUGUUGUAAGAUUAGCACUGGCAGCAAAGGCUAGGGUAAAUUUUUGUUUUAGACUCUUGAUUUUGAUUUUACUUCUUAUAUUAAGUUGAGAUUUUUCACUGUAAUAUUGACUUUAUAUUCAUUUUAUGAAUCAUUGGUUUUGUCUUAUUUGAAUUCUCUGAAAUGUUUUAUCACAAUUUUAUUUCCAAGGUGUUGCUGAUCUUUGUUCAUUGAGGGUUACUUUGAGCUGUUUUGAGCACUGUCCACUGUGGAAAAGCAGCAUAUAAUUUCUUUUAAAAAAUCUUAACCAACAGGCUGAUGGGCAGACUAAAAUUAAGGCUAUGGUUGAGGGCAGUUGACCCUUUAGAUACUGAAAAUAUUAUUUGAAAGGCAGAGGGAAAGAACCAAUAUCCAGGAUGACAGCAUUUCAGUAGGACAGAAGUAUGCCAGAAGGUUACAUUCUGCUUCCCAUAUGUUACCCUUUCUGCUUAACAAGUAUGCAAUAUAACAUUAAUGUAAACAAGCCUGAUAGCUAGCCUGAAUCCCAAACUUUUUGGUAGUACAGUAAUACCUCAGUUCAAGAACGUUCCUGUUCUCAUACAAUUCGGUUCACGAACAGAAAGUUCGGCAAAAUUAUGCUUCCAUUCGCAAACUCCACAUCAGGUGAGGAACACAAUCACGGCCAUCUUCCCUGCACCCCAACCCUGUGUCAGAGCGUGUUUGAGUGGGGAAGAUGGCUGCAUUCAUGUUCGUGUGGGGAAGAUGGCCGCCAUCGUGUUUGUGCGAGGAAGAUGGCCAUGUUCGUGUUCAUAUGAACAUGGCCAUCUUCCCCACUCUGACACGUGGUCACGGCUUCCUCUAGUCGAGAUCGCGGUCGCAGACUCCCUCCAAACAAUACCCUCCUCCCCACCGACCUUCCUGUCCUCCAUGCCAGAAGUCGGCUCACGCAAGGUUAAUGUUCUCUCUCUUCAUACUGUAUGGUACUUUGUUUAAUAAUUUUGUGUUAAAAAAAUUACAUAUGGUUCAGAACAGAGUAACCUUAUUUACAUUGAACCUUAUGGGGAAAUUUGACUUGGUUCGCAAC